AUGUCUCGCCGGCGGCGGCAGGGCUCCGACUCCGACGGCGAGGACGACAGCUUCCUCUACCGCUACCCGAUGCCCUCCUCCUCCGCCGGCGCCCCCUCCAGCGCGCCCGCGUCGGGCGGCCGCGGCGGGGGCGGCAGGGGCGGCGGCAGCGGCUCGGGCGGGCUCGCGCCGUCCAAGUCCACGGUGUACGUCUCCAACCUGGACUUCGCGCUCACCAACUCCGACCUGCACACCCUCUUCUCCCGCUUCGGCAAGGUGGCCCGCGUCACGGUCCUCAAGGACCGCGAGUCCCGCCGCAGCAAGGGGGUCGCCUUCGUGCUCUUCGUCCGCCGGGAGGACGCCGUGGCGGCGGCCGCCGAGAUGCACGGAAAGGUGCUCAACGGCCGCACCCUAGCCGCCUCCAUCGCCGAGGACAACGGCCGCACCGCGCAGUUCAUCCGCCGCCGCGAGUACCGCGACAAGUCCCACUGCUACGAGUGCGGCGGGGAGGGCCACCUCUCCUACGAGUGCCCCCGCAACCAGCUCGGCCCCCGCGAGCGGCCGCCGCCCUCUAAGAAGUCGCGCCGCGGGGGCGGGGCUGCUGGUGGCCGUGGCGGCGGCCGCGGAAGCGGGGGCGGGGAAGGGGACGGGCCCUCCUGGCAGUCAGACGAGGACGACGACGCCGUCGCCGCGGCGUUCGAGGACGACAGGUGGGCGUCGGUGGUGGACACGCGGGGGGAGGAGGAGAAGGCGGCCGAGAAGGAGGGUAGGGCCAAGGCCAAGGCGGCGAGGAAGGAGAAGAGGAAAGGCUACUUCAGCGACGAGAGCGACGAGGACGAUGACUGA
rnacentral:rRNA from 1 species